UAGGGAAUCUUCGGCAAUGGACGAAAGUCUGACCGAGCAACGCCGCGUGAGUGAAGAAGGUUUUCGGAUCGUAAAACUCUGUUGUUAGAGAAGAACAAGGACGUUAGUAACUGAACGUCCCCUGACGGUAUCUAACCAGAAAGCCACGGCUAACUACGUGCCAGCAGCCGCGGUAAUACGUAGGUGGCAAGCGUUGUCCGGAUUUAUUGGGCGUAAAGCGAGCGCAGGCGGUUUCUUAAGUCUGAUGUAAAAGCCCCCGGCUCAACCGGGGAGGGUCAUUGGAAACUGGGAGACUUGAGUGCAGAAGAGGGGAGUGGAAUUCCAUGUGUAGCGGUGAAAUGCGUAGAUAUAUGGAGGAACACCAGUGGCGAAGGCGGCUCUCUGGUCUGUAACUGACGCUGAGGCUCGAAAGCGUGGGGAGCAAACAGG
rnacentral:rRNA from 1 species